rnacentral:piRNA from 1 species
UUGGACAAUGGUGCUCCUCACAUUCAGGAUGG